GACAGAGGGGGCAAGCGUUGCUCGGAAUCACUGGGCGUAAAGGGCGCGUAGGCGGGAUGGCAAGUCGGUCGUGAAAUCCUUCGGCUCAGCCGAAGAACGUCGGCCGAUACUGCCGUUCUUGAGGGAUGCAGAGGAGAUUGGAAUUCCCGGUGUAGCGGUGAAAUGUGUAGAGAUCGGGAGGAACACCGGUGGCGAAGGCGGGUCUCUGGGCAUCUCCUGACGCUGAGGCGCGAAAGCGUGGGGAGCAAACGGG
rnacentral:rRNA from 1 species